AGGCGGCGACGGGUAGCCGGCCUGAGAGGGUGGACGGCCACAUUGGGACUGAGAUACGGCCCAGACUCCUACGGGAGGCAGCAGUGGGGAAUAUUGCACAAUGGGCGCAAGCCUGAUGCAGCGACGCCGCGUGGGGGAUGACGGCCUUCGGGUUGUAAACUCCUUUCGCUAGGGACGAAGCUUUUUGUGACGGUACCUAGAUAAGAAGCACCGGCUAACUACGUGCCAGCAGCCGCGGUAAUACGUAGGGUGCGAGCGUUGUCCGGAAUUACUGGGCGUAAAGGGCUCGUAGGUGGUUUGUCGCGUCGUCUGUGAAAUUCCGGGGCUUAACUCCGGGCGUGCAGGCGAUACGGGCAUAACUUGAGUACUGUAGGGGUAACUGGAAUUCCUGGUGUAGCGGUGAAAUGCGCAGAUAUCAGGAGGAACACCGAUGGCGAAGGCAGGUUACUGGGCAGUUACUGACGCUGAGGAGCGAAAGCAUGGGUAGCGAACAGGAUUAGAUACCCUGGUAGUCCAUGCCGUAAACGGUGGGCGCUAGGUGUGAGGGUCUUUUCACGACUUUCGUGCCGUAGCUAACGCAUUAAGCGCCCCGCCUGGGGAGUACGGCCGCAAGGCUAAAACUCAAAGGAAUUGACGGGGGCCCGCACAAGCGGCGGAGCAUGUGGAUUAAUUCGAUGCAACGCGAAGAACCUUACCUGGGCUUGACAUACACCGGAUCGGGCUAGAGAUAGUCUUUCCCUUUGUGGCUGGUGUACAGGUGGUGCAUGGUUGUCGUCAGCUCGUGUCGUGAGAUGUUGGGUUAAGUCCCGCAACGAGCGCACCCUUGUCUUAUGUUGCCAGCAUUUGGUUGGGGACUCAUGAGAGACUGCCGGGUCACUCGGA
rnacentral:rRNA from 1 species